rnacentral:rRNA from 1 species
GACGAACGCUGGCGGCGUGCUUAACACAUGCAAGUCGAACGGAAAGGCACUGCCUUUGUGGGGUGCUCGAGUGGCGAACGGGUGAGUAACACGUGAGUAACCUGCCCUUGACUUUGGGAUAACUUCAGGAAACGGGGGCUAAUACCGGAUAGGAGCUCCUGCUACAUGGUGGGGGUGGGAAAGUUUCGGGGGUUGGGGAUGGACUCGCGGCUUAUCAGCUUGUUGGUUGGGUAGUGGUUUACCAAGGCUUUGACGGAUAGCCGACCUGAGAGGGUGGCCGGCCACAUUGGGACUGAGAUACGGCCCAGACUCCUACGGGCGGCAGCAGUGGGGAAUAUUGCACAAUGGGCGGAAGCCUGAUGCAGCAACGCCGCGUGCGUGAUGACGGCCUUCUGGUUGUAAACCGCUUUCGCCUGUGACGAAGCGUGUGUGACGGUACUGGAUAAAGAAGCACCGGCUAACUACGUG